rnacentral:rRNA from 1 species
UCAGACACGUCAGAGUUUGAUCCUGGCUCAGGAUGAACGCUAGCUAUAGGCUUAACACAUGCAAGUCGAGGGGAAACGGCAUGAGAUGCUUGCAUCUUAUGGACGUCGACCGGCGUACGGGUGAGUAACGCGUAUCCAACCUUCCGGUAACUCCGGUAUAGCCUUUCGAAAGAAAGAUUAAUCCCGGAUAGUAUGGUGAUUCCGCAUGGUUUCUCCAUUAAAGGAUUCCGGUUACCGAUGGGGAUGCGUUCCAUUAGGCAGUUGGCGGGGUAACGGCCCACCAAACCAUCGAUGGAUAGGGGUUCUGAGAGGAAGGUCCCCCACAUUGGAACUGAGACACGGUCCAA